rnacentral:lncRNA from 1 species
GCCCAGCUUGGCCUCCCAAAGUGCUGGGAUUACAGGUGUGAGCCACCAUGCCCAGCCUGCUGGCACACAUUCUAAAGAGAGCCAACUGGCACAACCUGAGGACUUCUGAGAGGACCAGAGCACCAGUGGCCUCCCCAUCCACCUUCCCUCCCUUCUCCUCCAGGUUACCUAAGGGAACCCCAGAGGAAUUCAAGGAGGAUGGGGUGAUUCUGAAGCUACGGUCCAGCAUGGCAUGCUAUGGUCUUGAAGCCUAUGAAAUUCACUCUUCAACAAACUUGGCAUCUACGUUAAGCAUGUGAAUGUACAGAGUUAUCAAUCAACAAUAGCCUUUAAGAUUAUUGUAAUCCCCUAAGUACUUCGGCCCCAGGUAUUGGGUCUGGCAGUGCUCCAUUUCAUGUGCCCUGUCACCCUCACCCCUCUUUUUCCAUCCCACUUCUCCUAGCUGGACCAAGCUAGGCGUCAUCUACAAGCCCGGUGUGCUGACCAGGGAAUGUGUGGGGCUUGGGGCAUGGGGACAAUAAAUAACAUCACUUUUCUCACUACUAGGGGGCAGGGUGAGGUGGGAGGGUAACUUGAGCCUGGGAGGCAGAGGUUGCAGUGAGCUGAGAUUGCAUCACUGGUCUCCAGCCUGGGCGACAGAGGGAGAUCCUAUCUCAAAAAAAAAAAAAAAAAAAAGACAGAGGAGAUACCAGCCCUUCCUUGCUUCCCACUAGCUGCCUAACCCAGAGAGGAGAUUGGGAAAAGAGAAACAAGUUACAGAAUUCAAGAGUAGGUAUCAUCUGGGGUCUUCCUGAAGGAACAAGUGUUGCUCCAGAGAAGCCAGAAAUUCUUAUCUCUGCUUUGCUCUAACCACCUCUUUAGGCUUUAUGACUGAAGAGUCCCUUUGGCCCCUUAACUCCACAAGGCUGACCCUGGUGAUCAGCAGCUGAGAUCUACAUGAUACAGUCCAGACACCAGAAGGAGACUGAAUCUCUCUCCCAAAUCUCAGCUCUAAAAUUCCCAAGAGAGGGCCUCAUGGGUCCAGGCAGUGUCUGGUGUCCGUCCUGCAAUGGCCAGGAGCCAGGUUUUCUUGUAGGAGUGUGACAGCUCCUCCUGCAGUCGGGGAUCCUGGAUGGGGCUGAGGAGAAGUUCCAAGGCAAGGAGGAUUGGCAUCUGCUCCAUAAGUGCAUUCUUCUCUUUGCACUUGAUCUUUUAUCUACCUCAUAGAUAGAUCCUUCUUGCUCACACUUUCAGCCUGUCCUUUUUUUUUUUUUUUUUUUUUUUUGAGACAGGGUCUCGCUCUGUCACUCAAGCUGGAGUGCAGUGGCAUGAACUUGGCUCACUGCAGCCUCCACCUCCCAAGUUCAAGUGAUUCUCCUGCCUCAGCCUCCCAGGUAGCUGGGAUUACAGGCGUGUGCCACCACACCUGGUUAAUUUUUUUGUAUUUUUAGUAGAGAUAGGGUUUCACCAUGUUGACCAGGCUGGUCUUCAACUCCUGACCUCCCCAGUGAUCCACCCACCUAGGUCUCCCAAAGUGCUGGGAUUACAGGCAUGAGCCACUGUGCCCAGCGCUUUCAGCCAGUUUGACCUCUACUCAUGCAAAUUUUACCUUUCCCUUUAUGCCUCACUCCACCUCACGGCUUCACUCUCUUCUCCCUGAUCGCACCCCACUGUGACUGCCUGAAAUGCCACAUGUUUCUUCAUUCAGAUUUCUCAGAUAAUUCAAUGGUUCCACCCAUAAUUCCACACCUGGCCACUUCAUAGACAAUGACUCACUUAAGGACAGGCUGCCUCAGGGUGCACAGCCUGUAUUCAGGAAUCUGCUAGAGCAACACAUAGCUGUACCUUCUGCAAGGCUGUGGGCUGGAUGACUCCACUGUGGGCGUGGAACACGGGCUGGUGUCAUAAGGAGACAUUCUUUAUGCCUUAGGCAUUGAAAGGAUACUCCUUCCAAAAGGCCUUUCCCAGCGUUUCCCCCUGAAAUCCACUAACCAUAGCAUUUCACUGUUGACACUGCCAUAUAGUGCUAAGUGCAGUUGUCUAACUCCUACUGCCACAGAGAUUCAAGUGUACAAUGGCUUACACGUGUGAGAAGAUUAUUUCUUGUUCAGAUAUCAAAUGCAGAAUAAGCAGUCCAGAGAGGAGAUGACAGCUUUAUGGUGUUGGGGACCUAUGCUCCUUCUGACUUGCUGUUCUAUCAUCCCUUGGACGGUGGCCUCAUCUCCUUGGAUCCAGAUGGAUCACUACCACAUUCCAGCCAGUGGGAAGGGGGAAAUGCAUUUCCUUUUCCUUUAAAUGCGGGAGCCAGAGUUUGCACACCUCACUUCACUCACACCUUGCCAGCCAGAACGUAGUUACAGGGUCACAUCAAGCUUGAAGGAGAGCUGGCAAAUGAAGUCUAUUUUGGGUGGCCAUGUGCCCAGCUAAAAGUUGGGAAUUCUAUUAUUAAAGAGGAAGAGGAAGAGAAGAAUGCAUAUCCCACCAUUCUGUCACCGUUUUUGACUGCUCUCCACUCACUAUCCAGUCUGUCACAUGCUGGCACAUCCCAUUCCUGAUGCCUUUCCUAUGGGGCUCUAUUCUUCAUCCCCACCAAUACCACCAUGCAUUGGGCCCUUCCUGCUUUAUACCCACUGUCUCAUUAGAACGUCCUAGCUGAUCCCUUUGCUUUCAGUCACCUUCUGUGAUCAUUCUAUUAAUAAAUAGCAAAUCUGAUCAUAUGCCCCUAUUGUUUAGAAAUCAAUGGCUCCCCACUGCCCAUAGCAGUAAGAUUUUGAAUCCUUUUUUUUUUGAGACAGGGUCUCAUUCUGUCACCUAGCCUGGAGUGUAGUGGUGAGAUCACAGUCAUUGCAGCCUUGACCUCCUGGGCUCAAGUGAUCUCCCCACCUUAGCCUCCCAAGUA